rnacentral:lncRNA from 1 species
AUAACAUAGACAUUACACAUCAUCGGAGUAAGCGGAAAGGAUUACAAUAACAUAAUUUACAUUCAUAAGUAAAAUAUAGAAAGAGUUGAUUAUUACAUAUCCGGGUACUGAGUGCUUAAACUUAUUAUUAUUACAUCAUAGGAAGGCAAAACACAUUCCCUAGGUAAGUCUUAGUUCUCCUCCUCCUGCUUGGGAACCACCUUGGAACAGAAACAACAGAACUCAGUAGUUUCAUCACCUACAGCAACAUGGGUUUGAAAACCCUGAGUACGGAGUGUACUUUCGCAAGUCUUACCCGUCAAAGGAGAAGACUCUCAAGGAUAUGCUGGCCUUUGGGAAUCAAGGUAAAGCUUAUCAAGAUUCAAAGACUCUUUUGCAAAAAAGCUUACUAUGAGUGGAUCCUUAAGAAUUCAUUUUACUUAUCAAGUUAAGUAGUUAUCAGCAUCUAGAUUUCUUUCUAUUAUAGAUCAAGCACUUGACCUAAACUAGCCAUCUUUUUAUCACCCCUUCAGUUCACAUGUUGCUACGUGUAGGUCAGUGACCAAGUCUUCAUGUCCGAGAAGUAACGGUGAUCCGAAUCGAUUAAUACCCAACUGGGGAUCUCCAACCACAUGACAUAUGUAGCACUUAAACCUUGCAUAUGUCAACUCGCACUCGGGUUUCUCAAGACCAAAAUGGGUUCAUGCCAACCGAGAGCACAAAUACUCCACCGUCCAGCUUCUUGCCACGGAGGGUACACGCUUCUCUCGCCAUCUCUCCACUCCCAUUGCGUGGUAGCCUUUUUGGUAUUGGUCCGACCAAGGCAAAGCUUACCCAUGACGAGGCAUAUGGCCAGUUAAACGGUCCUCGAUCAGCCGGACUACAUCGGCUCGGUCCUUAAGCGACUCAGACGGAGACAUUACACCGAGACUUCCUUCUCGUGCAAAUCACCCGCCUGGUCUCGUCUUUAUCAUUUAAAACCCAAAGUUUAGUACCUGGUAGAGGUAGUUCUUUUCAGAUGUUGAACCCAUCACUGUCGCGAUGGAUCCACCAUCAUAAGUCCUUUCUUUGUAAAAAUUUCCAUCCCAUGUGAAGCAUCACCUUUUUCAAAACAAAACUUUUUGUUUUCUAUAGCAGACUAAGCAUUAGAAAAACUUGUUUAAAUAAAACAGGCAAACAAGGAAUGGUAACCAAUUUUCUAAGGAAGGAAAUACAUCAAUUGUUUAUCACACAAUUCCUAUCACUUAAUGCAUCAUAUAAGGUGAUAAAGAUUUUAAAACAACAAGGAAAAGGGGUAAAUGCACCAGGGCUUGCCUUGUGUUGCAGGAGUUUCUGUUUCCACACCGUAGGUGUCGAAGUAAAAGUUGUUCUCCACUGGAGGAUUCUCAGUCUAGGAGACAACUUCUUCCUCUACUACGGUUUCUUCCUCGUGUUUUAUACAUGAUAAUACAUAUACAUGAAUGCUUAUGUUAUUUCAUGAAUGCUUGUACAUGAAUGCUUAUGUUAUUUCAUGAAUAUGCAGUUACAUAAUAGAAAUAUAGUAAGUUGCAUCUUGAAUAUAACUUUCCUUCACGGUACAGACCAUUCACUAAGGUUUUUCUAGUUAGCUAUUCCUUUAGGAUUAAUAUUAAGUAAUUAAUCAUAUGAAGCUAGUUAUGGGGUUUCUGGUCAAACAGUGUCCAAACUAUUUCAAACUUCACUCAAGGUCUCUAAUCAUCAUAUUAAGCCUACCCAAAAAGUUUUAUAAUUUUUAGAAUUACUAAAUUAUUUCUAAAAUUCUAAAAGACUUUAUUUAAGCAUCUUUAAAUGCUACAUAAUUCCAGGUUUGAACUAAAAAUUCUGGGAUUAUUUUUAUUAAAUACUACUUGAUUUUAGAAGUCUAACAAAAUUGGUCUCAUAAUUUUAACAUUUUUCUACUAUUUUCUACAGAUUUCCCAAGUUGACAGUAAAAAGAAAAGAAGAAAACAUGAAUAGUAUCGGGCCGCAUUCAACCCGAACGGCCCAAACUCGUGCUGAAACCGAGCGCAUCCGUGCCCGCUCUGGCAAUUUGCUUUGGAACCCUUAGGCAUUUGAAUAACCAGUAAAGAAUCCCUAAACACUAUUCCUAUGUCUCACUGACAAUCGCACAUAUGCCCUCAUACUUAUAUUUCUUCACGACUUCAAGUCCCUGAUGGCGCUCCGGUCGAAUACUUGGUCGGAGACGCGAGUACUCGCCGACAGUGACGUGCUCCGGUGGUGCCGAGCACACGGACACCAUCACUGAUGCUACCCGUACGCACGCACGUGCUUAAUUCGACCAGAUUGUCAUUAAUUCGUAGCUGUCCGCGACAACAACGGAGUAAGAUCACCGACGUGCUCAUUCCGGUUUACUCAAGCCAGUCGCAUUCAAUUCAAAGACUUGGAACGAAUCCGUGAUCGACUAGGACUACGGUGCUCGCGCAAACUUGGACGGAGGCAACCAGGAACAGGCAGUCGACAUGAGCCAUGUCCACUGCGGUGUUCCCGGACGACGACGCGACGUUCCCUAAGCUACGUUGUGGUAGCGUUCAAUUGGCCGAGACCGGGAGUUUCACUAGCACCAGAGGAUGUAGAAACAUGGAUCAGAGGGACAUGAACGGACCUGAGAACGGCUAGCCACGACGUGAUGCCUCACGGCGGCGUUCCGGCCGAUUUGGGGGAAAUCUGGAAUUCGCGAGCUAUGGUGGAUGAUUUAAGGCGAGGAGUGGUGCUCUGGGUGCAUAACAAGAAGGCGAAGCAAGGAGGGCACUCAAUUUAAAGGGGCCGGCUGCGGUUGCUCUGAAUUUUGGACGGAGAUGAACUCACGGCGGGGAUGGGG